rnacentral:sRNA from 1 species
GUUACUUGAUUGUCGUGGGGGAACAGAGGCAGAGUGUUCCAGGGCCCCAAUCAAUGCCAUCCUGACUUCAUGCGUAGAGCAGGAGGCCCUGAUUCUUAUCAGUGUAGGAACAUGGAGGAGGAACAGCUGGCCUUGUAAGUGAUCACAGAGUGAAACCAGCCUAGUCUGUUGCAUUGUUCCUUUUUUUCCCAAAGGAAAUAUAAGGGAAACCAAGGGGAAUUUUUGCUCAUGGUUUCCAAGGCAAAGGUCAUCGUUAAUGGUUGGCUGUUUCCAGCGUGCUUGGGUUUCUGCUUAAGUGAGAGCUUUUUCAUGGUGAAAGGCGCAGCCCUCUUCUUACAACAGGGAAGCAGCCCUCAAGGCCAGCGGAGUCUUCAGCACCCCCACAAGCAUGCAGGCGGUGCGCCUGGAGAGCGCCUGGGCGGACCGGGUCCGGUACAUGGUGGUGGUGUACAGCAGCGGGCGCCAGGACACCGAGGAGAAUAUCUUGCUGGGAGUGGACUUUUCCAGUAAGGAAAGUAAAAGCUGCACCAUUGGGAUGGUUCUCCGACUGUGGAGCGACACGAAAAUCCACCUUGAUGGAGAUGGGU